AGAUGUGAGGGCGAUCUGGCUGCAAUACCUGUCUUUCAUUGAUCCCUAGGGUUGCUUCAGCUGAUCUGGCUUCGCUAGUCAGGGGUCCCCUUCUUGCCUCACAACUCCAUGUGUCCCUCCCUUACAAUGCAUCCUCAGUAGCAGAGGAUGACUUUCCUUAAGGGAAGAGGACUGUUACUCUGUAUGCUCUGUAUGCUCUGUAUGGGAGCAUCUCUGCUUCUCUGCUAGAACCUCCAAACGAGCUCUCAAGCAGAUCGCAUAUCAGUUGUCUGUCAAAACAAUUCAUCUCCCUUUUAUCUUAAAAUGUACCAUCCAUCUUU
rnacentral:snRNA from 1 species